CACAGAUCCAAACCAUUUUAGAGGAGUUGGUGUCCUCCUUCCUGGAUGGCAAAAGGAGAGUAAUAUGAGCAGGCUCAGGCAGAACAAGGAAGAAUCCAGUUCUCCUUAACAGGAAUAACAAGGUCUAUUGUUCCCAAACAGGCAGAGCCAAAGCAUGCUAAGUGAGAAAUAGUCCUCCCACCAUGUGAGAGUACGCUGGGCUGCCUUUCCAUUUUAAAGAAUUGCCUUGGUGAGAUGUCUUCAGUUCUUCUGGCAAAGCUGUUUGCAUAUUAGCCCUGAAGCUUGUGCAGUGAGGCAGGAUAGAGGAAUGGGAACAGCUGGAGCCAGAGAGACCUGCUGGGAAUCUGGGCUCAGCCACUUUUGACCUGCAUGGUUUCUUGCAAGUCAGCUCAGAGCUGGACCAAAGCAGCUGUCGAUCCUUUGCCUCUUUGCACUUUGGAGCCCAGUCCUGAUGGGACCAGGUGUCAGAGCCCUGCCAAAUCUGUGAGAAGGGUGGAAGCAAGUUUCCCUGAGGGAAAAAAAAACAACAAAAAAAAACCUUCUGGAAUUGGGAAAAAUUUAGGUCAACAUCAUUUGAACCUUGACCUCUUGCUCUUUUGUCCCCGGGUGGACAUUUCCUUGACCUCCAGAAAUUCCUCCACCUCAAGGGAAGACUUCUUGCCCCCCUCACUUCCAGAGGCCUCCAAAGUGGGCUGGGAAGAGAUUUAAAGCAGGACCCUGGGAAGCAUGAUGAGACUCUGGAGUGUAGAGAGGCUUCCCUGCAAUGCAAAGAUCUUCAAAGGCCAAGCCCAAGGCACUGCAACCCCCAGGAGGGCCCACUCCAAAGCAGAACAGUGGAGGGAGAGCCUGCGUGUCAAGAAGCCUGGACAGCAAGACCCCCUACUGUGGCAGCCAGCCUGCUUGUAGGAGUCCUGAGAAGCCUAAUUCAAUUACCCUUAUCAGAAUGUCUCUGAACUUAACAAAGCAGAUAAUGAGUUCCAGAGACAGAUACUGCUUGGGGGGCCAAAAUUAUUUUGCUUCCCCAAAUUGGAGGCUGAAAUUGGAGAUGUUUGAAUAAUGGAAAACAUAAUCCUUCCCUAGGCCCAACCCCCUCCCAGUACCCACACCUGAGACACCCUUUCAACCAAGGAGCCUGGAUUCAACAUCCAUGCCGUCUCUCCUCCUGAAGACACCUGGUCAUGAACUCGACCUCUUUCCCCCACCAUCUUUGUGCCAUCGAUGGAAGGAAGCUGCGUACAGGAUGGAAGUGGGAGGGGAAAGGGAUUAACAUUUAUGGAGCCCUCCCCUCUAUGUGUCAGCUACAUAACACAUAGCAUUCAUUUCAACCACAGAACAUAUGUCUUUACAUUACAGAAGGCAACGGAGAACUGGAAAAGUUAACUUACUGCCUGAGGACCCAUCCCCAUCUCACCAGCAGCACAGUCAGAUUCAGACACAGGUAUUCAACUUUGCAACACACUGUGCCUCACGGCCUGUGUGCUCAACAUCAGAAAUCAAAUAGAAACUCCCUCAUUCUAAGAUUCAUAGCCAUCCUCCGAGAUAUGACAUAGCGACCUCUCCUCCGUGAACAGGGAAACAGACUGAGAGGAUAACCUAACUCUCCCAAGGCCAGAGUAUCCACUGGGAUAUGCAGCCAAGUCAGCCAGCAGUUGAAACAAGGGCUCUCUGUGCUAUCUCACAUCUGAAUUGAAUUGUUUCCUACAGACUUCUCAUAGCUCUCUAGGCAAGGAAUACAUCUUCUCACCUUCCCACACUAAGAAAGGCCUCUGUCUGAGCCUGGGUGCCGGGUGGCCAGGAUUCCUGCUGAACGUUCAGGAGCUUUCCAUCUCCAGAGGUGAGCUCCUAGUUCCUGCUUACCUUAGAACUGUAGAACAUAUAAUGUUACCACUGAAAAGAACCUCUCGUAUAGUUGGAUCACACCCUUUACCUAUUUAUUUAAAUGUACUGUUUUAAUUAUGUAACAUUUGAUAUGUGCAGGAUAAUAUGUAUGCAAAUUAUAAAGCAUAAUAAUAAAACCUGUGAACCCACCACUCAACCUUAGAACCAGACCAUUACAAUUGAUGUCCCUCCUACUUCCCCAACAGAAAUAACCACUGUCCGGGACUUUAUGUUUAUAGCCCCACCCCCCACAAUGAUUUUUAUAGUUUUGCCAAAUAUGUUAGCAUGGUAGAUUGCAUUAUUGCUCUGAGUUAAAUAUCCUUCCUUUGACAUAUAAUUUGGCAGUUCCUUCCAUUGGAAGUGAAAUACAUUUCUCUGCCCAAGAUGUUAGAUUUGCUUUGGUCAGUAGAAUGUUGCAGGCUGUGACGGUGAAAAUUCUGAGCCCAGGCCUUAAGAGGAAUCACCUGUUUCCACAUUCCCCACUUGUAUUUCUGCCUCUGCCAUGAGAAAAACAUGCUUCAGGUCACCUGCUGCUCCAAGGAGGAUGAGAGACCUAUGGGGAAGACCUGGACCCAAUCUGAAGUUAGAACUAAGUGCAACUGAGCCCAGCCUGGAUUAACCAACUCCCAGCCAAUCCACAGACACCUGGGUAAGAAUACAUGAAUGUUGUCAGCCACUGAGUUUUGGAGUCAUUUGUUAGGCAGCAUUAUUGUGGCAAUAGCUGACUGAUAUACUAUGUAUCCCUGAACAGCAUAUUGUUUACUUUUGCUUUUUUUUUUAGCUUUGAAAGAUGGUAAUUAAUAUUGCAUGUCAUUAUCUAAUAUUUACUUUUCUUUCCCACUCAACAUGAUAUGUCUGAGAUCUAUGCAGUAGAAUAUAAUACAGCAGUAUAAAUGAACUACAGCAGCAGCCCUCUCAGUUUAGAGAUGAGGAAAAGCAAAAGACCCGGAGAGUUCAUGAAGGGCUGAACUGGCUUGGAAGCCCAAGUGUCAUUCCUUCAGCAGAUAUUUAUUGAACAUAAACUGAGCACUCACCUCAGUGCUAAGAAUAUAAAGGGGAACUGGACACAUAAGGUUCUUGUCCUCUUGAGUUACAGAGGUCAUUUCAUAGAAAGAAUGCAAGGCCACAUCUGUGCCCCCUAUCAUAUCAUUGCCAAGGUUUCCUUAUUGCCUCUGCCCUGCCUGCUGUUUCCCCCAUUCAGUUCACCACCUCCUGUCCCUGGAGGCAAUAAUGUAAUUAAGGCAGUAUGUGAAGACAGCACGCAGAAACUGUGAUGUGGAUAGCUCUCCUUGGAGAUCUGCUGGCAGACUGACUUCCAGGAAAAAGAGCCAAAGUACUUGGGAAAUGCAGACCCAAGGACUGAUCACUUUUGGGAGGUCAAGACAAGAAACCCUACAUAUAUGAUAAAGAGAUCUUACUCAGCAAAACACAGUUACUGAAGAGGGAUGGAGGAAUACCCUUAUGAAAAAAUGGACAGAACAUGCACGAAGAAAACUGCAAAACUUCAUUGAGAGACAUUCUUGCCUUGAAUAAAUGAAAAAGCAUGUCAUGUUUCUGGGUGGGAAAAUCUAAGACCACUUAGAUACCAAUUCUUCGCCCAAGUAAUACUACAUCUUUAACAUUAUCCCAAAUAAAAUCCAAACAAAAAAUGUUUUAACUUGAC
rnacentral:lncRNA from 1 species